UGUAACAUUUUAUUUAUUAAGUUUGAGUCUCUUUAGCACUUAUGUUUACUCACUGAAGCUAAGCAGGGCUGAGCCUGGUUAGUACCUGGAUGGGAGACCACUAGGGAACACCAGGUUGCUGUUGGAA
rnacentral:rRNA from 1 species